GCUGGGCAUGGUGGCGGGUGCCUGUAAUCCCAGCUACUUGGGAGGCUGAGACAGGAGAAUCGCUUGAACCCAGGAGGCGGAGGUUGCAGUGAGCCAAGAUCGUACCACUGCACUCCCGCCUGGGUGAUAGAGUAAGACUCUGCCUCAA
rnacentral:SRP_RNA from 2 species